GACGUAGGGCGCGAGCGUUGUCCGGAAUUAUUGGGCGUAAAGAGCUCGUAGGCGGUUCGUCGCGUCGGCUGUGAAAACCCGGAGCUCAACUCCGGGCCUGCAGUCGAUACGGGCGGACUUGAGUUCGGCAGGGGGAGACUGGAAUUCUUGGUGUAGCGGUGAAAUGCGUAGAUAUCAAGAGGAACACCUGAGGUGAAGACGGGUUGCUGGGCUGAUACUGACGCUGAGGCGCGAAAGCUAGGGUAGCAAACGGG
rnacentral:rRNA from 1 species